rnacentral:rRNA from 1 species
AGAGUUUGAUCAUGGCUCAGAACGAACGCUGGCGGCAGGCCUAACACAUGCAAGUCGAGCGCCCGCAAGGGAGCGGCAGACGGGUGAGUAACGCGUGGGAACGUGCCCUUUGGUUCGGAAUAUUCCCGGGAAACUGGGAGCAAAACCGGAUAAGCCCUUCGGGGGAAAGUUUACGCCAAAGGAUCGGCCCGCGUUAGAUUAGGUAGUUGGUGGGGUAACGGCCUACCGAGCCUACGAUCUAUAGCUGAUCUGAGAGGAUGAUCAGCCACACUGGGACUGAGACACGGCCCAGACUCCUACGGGAGGCAGCAGUGGGGAAUCUUGGACAAUGGGCGCAAGCCUGAUCCAGCCAUGCCGCGUGGAUGACUGAAGGCCCUAGGGUUGUAAAGUCCUUUCGACGGGGACGAUAAUGACGGUACCCGUAGAAGAAGCCCCGGCCAACUUCGUGCCAGCAGCCGCGGUAAUACGAAGGGGGCUAGCGUUGUUCGGAUUUACUGGGCGUAAAGGGCGCGUAGGCGGAUUUUUAAGUCGGGGGUGAAAUCCCGGAGCUCAACUCCGGAACUGCCUUCGAUACUGGAAGUCUGGAGCACGGUAGAGGUGAGUGGAAUUCCGAGUGUAGAGGUGAAAUUCGUAGAUAUUCGGAGGAACACCAGUGGCGAAGGCGGCUCACUGGACCGUUGCUGACGCUGAGGCGCGAAAGCGUGGGGAGCAAACAGGAUUAGAUACCCCGGUAGUCC